GGGAGUUUGGCCGAGUGGUUAAGGCGCUGUGUUUAGGUCUCCUGUCUUUACGGACACCUGAAAUCCCGCAGUGGGAAACCGCGCAGGUUCGAAUCCUGCAGCUCUCA